rnacentral:lncRNA from 10 species
GUCUCUUUGGGUUUGGCUGGUAAAAAGCAAUAAGCUUAUGUGAAUUGAAAGGCAGGCAGGAAAUAGGAGGUUUCGGCUGAAGGAGCGGCAGUCCAUAAAGACCUGGCAGGAGGGAAGAGCAGGUUGCCAUGGAAUGAAGGAACUACGAUGGGGAUCGAGGUAAAAUCAGUGCUAACUCAACAAUAUUGCAAUACAUCUUGUUAGAGGGUAGAGUGAACUAAAGAAGGAUGUUGUAAAUCUCAAUCUGAUCCAUAAUCUCAAAACUGGAGAUGAUUUUUAAAUGGCCGAUAAUUAAAUAAUCAGUAAUGAUUAGAGCUGCUAAUACAAUUUCUUAAUUUAAGCUUAUCCCACAAAGAACCAUUUAGCACUAUUUGAUUGUGAUAAUGAAUUAGAUUGGCCAGGUAUUCUUCCUUUUGAUUUUGUGAACUAUCCCUGGAGACGUGGCUUAUUGAAAAAUUCAUUUCUAAUUUUCUGUGGCUGAAACCAGUUUGCUAUAAUUAAUAAAUAAACUGAUGGAUUGUUAGAGAUGUCAAGUUACAGUCAACAACUCACAGCACUGGAUGAAUUAACAAGAGGUGUAUAUAUGCAGAGUCACAUGAAGUCAGCUAUGAGGCUGCAAGGAUGAGCUCUGCGUUGCACAGAAAUGAAUGACAACACAGGAGCUGGCUGCUUUCUGUCCACCAAGCCACUAUGGUAGAGUCUAGGCCAGGCUGGCUCCCCCUUGGGCUCUCCACAGCACUUUGCCAUUUUUUUCUUGGAGAUGCUUUUCAAUCACUACCUUCAAUUUGCCAUCUGGUGGACCCCUAAGGACUAAGCUCGGAUCAGGCUCCUGCUCAGGCUAGGUCAGGUAAGAUGUUUGCCUAGAGUGGCCCUAGAUCACGUAAUCCAAAGGGAAAAUAUCAGCCCUAGCCAAAAAUGAAAGCCAGAGGUCAGUACCAAUAGAGUUGUAUCAAGCACCAAGACAAAGAGACAAAAGUGAAACUACAAAUGAAAAACCAGAGAUAAAUCUGAAAUCAAACAGAUUUGAAGUGGUCCAAGAUAGCAAAAGUGUGUAUCCCAGGGAAAACAGUCCUGACGUGCAGGAGGCUUCCAGGCCCAAUCUUACUGGAUACGAGCCUAGCUCUGGACGGGAAGGUAGCUACUUAUAUAUGUGUCUUCUCUACACUAAGCUGUAAGCCUUUUGAAAGGCUUCAUGUACAUAUUGUCAUUUUUGUGUCCACCAUGGAGUCUGAGAUACGGCAGACACUUAACAAAUAUUUUUUAAAUGAAUGAAGGAAUGGGCAAUAUAGGUGAGAAUGCUACUACCAGCAAUACUAUUACUAACAAUCACUAAUAACACCUGUCACUUAUUGAACAUUGACUACGUGCCCAAAAUAAUGCUAAGCACAAGACAUAUAUAUAUAUAUAUUUUUAAAUUUAAUCCUCAAAAACCUUCUGAAGCAGAUAAUAUUUUCACCCAUUUCAUGAAUGAGUAAACUAAGGCUUAGAGAAGUCAUCUCUUCCAAAAUUGCACAAAUAACAAGUGGCAGAAAUAACAAAUCUGCAAAUAGACAUCUCAGUCCAUGAGCUUGAUUACUCCAUUGUACCAUUUUGGAAGCCCAACCUUGUUUGAACCUGAAUUAGAUUCCCAAGGUUGUAUAAGAGACUUUCCUAUUCUCCUCUUCAGCUUCCCACCCAAACCGAGCUCACCCAAACCGAGCUCACCGCCCCCCUUGUGUACUCUUUGGGCACGUCUCCACCAGAACACUCAAUACAUUGCCAAAUCAUUGUCUGUUUAGACGAGCAUCUCGACGGCAGGGGCUCUUGUUCACUUAUGUUCUCCCAUUGUGAGUAGCAUAAUGCCUGGAAUACCGUAAGUGCUGAAGAAAGGUUUGUGGGGUUGAUUAAUUAUUGAACUCUGAAUAAACAAUGGUCAUUUCGAAGACUAUGUUCUCUGGAGACUUUUUUGAUUUUGAUCCAUGGAUUCCCUCAUGUACGGCCUGAAUGGUAUGAGAGAUAAGAUAACAGCGCUGUUUCAGCGCCUCUCAGCAGCUGCCUUGGGGGCUGGAUUUAUUGCCUUCUUGAGUGAAAUGUUGGCCUUCAAUUUUGCUGAGCUGUCAAGAGCAGUGAUUUUAGGUGUGUGGCUGUUGGUUGUCCCACAAGCUAACUUUUUAAGUCAAAAUUACCACCCGGCACUGAAAUGGAGGUUGGUUAUGAGGUGUUAACAGGACCUCUGGGCCACCAAGGAGAAAGGGCUGGGGAAGCCAAGAGAAACACCCAGCUCCCAAUUUUAAAAUGAAAUUAGUAAAAUAAAGAAAUAAAAUAAAAUAGUAAAAUAAAGGAAGAAAUUUGAAACUGUAAAAAAUUUAAAGCUUUUAGUGAAAAAAAAAAGGAGGGGAUAAUGAUUAACAGAGCAGGCUUUGGAAUUAAACAAACUAGUUUAAAAUUCUGAUUCCUCAGACUGCCUUUGCGACACAGGGCAAGUUCUUGAUGGUGAGCCUCGGCUGUCUUGUCUGUCUUGUCUGGUACUGGGGUCUGUCUCUCAGGUAAGCAUUAGCUAAUGCAUGUGAAGUAUCUAAAACCACUCCAACUAUAUAGCAAAGGCUCAAUAAAAGGUCGUUGUUAUUCAAACAGUUAAAUUGUAUUCAUUUACUUAAUGAAGAUUUAUUCAGCACCAACUCUAUGCCAGACACUGUGCUUUACUCAUUGACAUAGAAUGGUGAGCGAGUACGUGCAGGGUCUGUGCCCUCGUAGAGCUUCAUGGUGAAUUGUAAAAAUAGCCAUAGGUUUAGUGGGUUCCCUUUUGGUGCCACCCCACUUUGAUGCUGAACUCAGCCAUGUGACUGGCUUUGAG